UGGGGAAUAUUGGACAAUGGAGGAAACUCUGAUCCAGCAAUUCUGUGUGUGUGAAGAAGGUUUUAGGACUGUAAAACACUUUUAGUAGGGAAGAAAAAAAUGACGGUACCUACAGAAGAAGCAACGGCUAAAUACGUGCCAGCAGCCGCGGUAAUACGUAUGUUGCGAGCGUUAUCCGGAAUUAUUGGGCUUAAAGGGCAUCUAGGCGGUAAGACAAGUUGAAGGUGAAAACCUGUGGCUCAACCAUAGGCUUGCCUACAAAACUGUUGAACUAGAGUACUGGAAAGGUGGGUGGAACUACACGAGUAGAGGUGAAAUUCGUAGAUAUGUGUAGGAAUGCCGAUGGUGAAGAUAACUCACUGGACAGAAACUGACGCUGAAGUGCGAAAGCUAGGGGAGCAAACAGG
rnacentral:rRNA from 1 species